rnacentral:rRNA from 1 species
UACCAGCACCCCGAGUGGUCGGGACGUUUAUUGGGCCUAAAGCAUCCGUAGCCGGUUCUACAAGUCUUCCGUUAAAUCCACCUGCUUAACAGAUGGGCUGCGGAAGAUACUAUAGAGCUAGGAGGCGGGGAGAGGCAAGCGGUACUCGAUGGGUAGGGGUAAAAUCCGUUGAUCCAUUGAAGACCACCAGUGGCGAAGGCGGCUUGCCAGAACGCGCUCGACGGUGAGGGAUGAAAGCUGGGGGAGCAAAGCCGG